rnacentral:rRNA from 1 species
AUUGAACGCUGGCGGCAUGCCUUACACAUGCAAGUCGAACGUGAAAGGGGGGCAACCCCCGAGUAGAGUGGCGGACGGGUGAGUAAUACAUCGGAACGUGCCCAGUAGUGGGGGACAACCUCGAGAAAUCGAGGCUAAUACCGCAUACGACCUACGGGUGAAAGCGGGGGACCGCAAGGCCUCGCGCUAUUGGAGCGGCCGAUGUCCGAUUAGCUAGUUGGUAGGGUAAAAGCCUACCAAGGCAACGAUCGGUAGCUGGUCUGAGAGGACGACCAGCCACACUGGGACUGAGACACGGCCCAGACUCCUACGGGUGGCUG